UGUGGAGACACCUGUCAAGGACGGCCUCCUCUACCAGCAGCACAUGAAGUUUGGCAAGGUGGGAAGCCCAGGCUGCCAGCCACGGGCAGAGGAGGGAAGCCCCUGCUUAGCUAACCACACAGCUGACCUGAGAUAACUGGGAAGGGGGUAUGGGUGAAGUGAAAGCUGGAGACAGGAGGUUCUUGGCCCAAGAAGGUUAGGGAUGAAGCCUCCUCCCUAAGCCAGCCUCAUACCGUGUUAGAGAUGCCAGGACCAUGGAAGCGUUGUAGGAAUCAAAACCUGUGUGUCCAAGGGUUCCAAGGCUCCUGGAGAAGGCCCAGGCCUGUGUGUCAGAAGCCCUCUGAGGACGGAGCAGACAGGCUGGUUCUCCUGGAGAGGAGAUGGGCUGGGAAUCUAUCUUUUUUUCUCCUUGAGCAUCAGACUGUACACCCACAGUUCAACUACAGCUGCUCCUGGGCAGAUAAACCGUCUGCUGCCUCUGCGAUGUCAUUUGCAUGUUUCCUUCCUUACCAGCAUGAAGCAGAGGCCGCCUUCCCACCCCACCCAGCCCAUGGCCCAAGUGCCCUUUCUGGUUGUGUAACAGCAGUGUCAGUUGGUCUGCCCCAGCCAUUAGAUACUAUUAACUGUGAAGGUCAUCCAGAACAGGGCAAGGUGUGACCAGGGCUCAGGGCUGACCAGCCCCAAGUGUAGAUCUCUUCCUGCCUACCCCUGCCCCAGCAAGGCCUCCUCCUUCCUCA
rnacentral:lncRNA from 1 species